UCCAGCCUACACGCUGUUGUGUACGGAAUGACCACUGAUUUUCAACGUAUGUGCCUUGAAUUAUGACUAAUUGCAAAGGACGAUGGCUAGCAAUUCAAGGGCCUACUAAAACUGGCACACAUCUUCUAUUAAAAGUUAAUUUUAGUAUCUUCAUGGAAAUUGUACAGUGACUGUUUAGCAUUUAUCCGUGAGAACCUUUCUAUCUAAACUCAACCUAAUCGAUGAUUUGGAAUUAUAUUUCUGAUGCAAGAAGGUUGUAUGCAUUCUACAACCCAGUUCUGGAAGAACUAGAGAGGAAAUCACCCAGACUGUCAAGGGAAAUAUUAACAGAAAAUAAGGUAGAACAGAUUGUGUGGAUAUGUCUGAACCCUGUUAGUCAAGUUUGCUCAAUGGCCUGAGAAGCCCGGAGACUCCUUACUUCAAGAGCUGAGGGCCACAGCUCAGUCUCUAAAUCUUCUGAAAACCUGGGGACAAUGUCAAAGGAAGAGAUGCCCAUGUUUUGAAACUUCAGGAGAAACUGCCAUGCUGUUUAUCAAUAUGAAUAAAAGGAGAAAGACAGCAAUUGGCAUGACCAUUUAAAACAACCAAAACGUUAUUGAAGAUACCUGUUUUGUUAUUAUUCAUCUGCUUGAGCUCUUUUUCUCAUGUUGCCAUCCUCAACUUGAAUCAUGGAACCCAGGAAGGAUGCUGGCCACUGGAGAGCUAAUGAUAUAAUGAAGAACAAGAGACUUACAAACACUCCUUGACCACCUUGCAAUCAAGAAUAUGGAGAUGAACCUAAAUAUCCAUCCAGAUGGCUCUUACAGUAAUAAUUUGGCUUUUCUAAUAAGAAUGGCUCUGGGAUUUUGAGAGUUCCAUGUAGGAAAUGACUCUGUUAACUCCUAUUAUGAGCAAGUGCAUUUCAAGAAACCUUUUGGCUUUGUGCAUACGUGGCUGGUCUGAAAGUCAUCAGAUGGGGCCAGUGUCAGGAUAAUGGCUGCGAGGGACAGAAGUCUUGGUCUAUCUCUCAUCUUUGUCAGAUUUACAAAUGUGCAUUGAUAAUCACUUGCAAUUUUUAAACAAAAAUCUA